rnacentral:rRNA from 1 species
UACGGGGGGGCAAGCGUUGUUCGGAAUUACUGGGCGUAAAGGGCGCGUAGGCGGUUUGUUAAGUUUGGAUGUGAAAACUGUGGGCUUAACCCAUAGCCUGCAUCCAAAACUAGCAGGCUAGAGUUCUGGAGGGGAUAGCGGAAUUCCUGGUGUAGCGGUGAAAAUGCGUAGAUAUCAGGAGGAACACCGGUGGCGAAGGCGGCUAUCUGGACCGAGAUUGACGCUGAGGCGCGAAAGCCAGGGGAGCAAACGGG